UGGGUUGACUUUCUCUUUUAUGAGUUUCUUGGCAAUAAAAGAGACUUCACCAGUCUCCUGUCACUUCAACAAGGGAGCAGUGAUGACAUUUCAUCUAAGGACACUGUAACAGCAGCGAUACCUUCAUGCAUCUGUCAAGGGUAUGACGUUGGGAAUGUGGAGUGCUCCCCAGGACCCGCAGAUGCCCCUUCUCCUUUCCUGCGGGGGUGUCUCUCCAGAUCCGCACCCCUUCUCCAGAGGCCCAGGCUCUGUUCACGAGGCCUAUUCAAAUUUUCAAGGAGGAAAAUGUUGGCUAGAGAAGCAGAAGAAUUUGGCAGCAAAUGAUCCAAACAUCUUUUGCCUCGGAAACGACUAGAGCUUUGCGCUGACAAUCCUGCUGUGAUAUGGAAUAUGGGUAGUGAGUUCAUUUGGGAUCAACUGCCACAUGUGAACAGUGACACCCCCUGUCCCCCAAUAAUAAAUGUGGAUACAAGUUCAAGCCA